ACCAUCAUAGUUCAGUGGAAGAACACUCGUUUUGUAAACUAGGGGUUGUGAGUUCGAUCCUCACUGGUUGCU